UACGGGGGGGGCAAGCGUUGUUCGGAAUUACUGGGCGUAAAGGGUUUGUAGGUGGCUCGCUAAGUCAGACGUGAAAUCCCUCAGCUUAACUGGGGAACUGCGUCUGAGACUGGCGAGCUUGAGUGCAGGAGAGGAACGCGGAAUUCCAGGUGUAGCGGUGAAAUGCGUAGAUAUCUGGAGGAACACCGGUGGCGAAGGCGGCGUUCUGGACUGCAACUGACGCUGAGGCGCGAAAGCUAGGGGAGCAAACAGG
rnacentral:rRNA from 1 species